rnacentral:misc_RNA from 1 species
GAUGAAGAACGCAGCGAAAUGCGAUACUUGGUGUGAAUUGCAGAAUCCCGUGAACCAUCGAGUCUUUGAACGCAAGUUGCGCCCGAAGCCAUUAGGCCGAGGGCACGCCUGCCUGGGCGUCACACGUCGUUGCCCCCGCAUCUACUCCUUCGGGAUUGCGGGGGGCGGAUGAUGGCCUCUCGUGCGCCUCGUCGCGCGGUUGGCCUAAAUGCCAAGUCCUCGGCGACGCACGCCACGACAAUCGGUGGUUGCGAAACCUCGGUUGCCUGUCGUGUGCGGUCGUCGCGCAUCGAGGGCUCGAAAAAAUUGCCGGGCUUCGGCUCGACUUUCAACGCGACCCCAGGUCAGGCGGGGUUACCCGCUGAAUUUAAGCAUAUCAAUAAGCGGAGGA